rnacentral:rRNA from 1 species
GCUACCAUGCAGUCGAGCGGAUGAAGGAGCUUGCUCCUGGAUUCAGCGGCGGACGGGUGAGUAAUGCCUAGGAAUCUGCCUGGUAGUGGGGGACAACGUUUCGAAAGGAACGCUAAUACCGCAUACGUCCUACGGGAGAAAGCAGGGGACCUUCGGGCCUUGCGCUAUCAGAUGAGCCUAGGUCGGAUUAGCUAGUUGGUGAGGUAAUGGCUCACCAAGGCGACGAUCCGUAACUGGUCUGAGAGGAUGAUCAGUCACACUGGAACUGAGACACGGUCCAGACUCCUACGGGAGGCAGCAGUGGGGAAUAUUGGACAAUGGGCGAAAGCCUGAUCCAGCCAUGCCGCGUGUGUGAAGAAGGUCUUCGGAUUGUAAAGCACUUUAAGUUGGGAGGAAGGGUUGUAGAUUAAUACUCUGCAAUUUUGACGUUACCGACAGAAUAAGCACCGGCUAACUCUGUGCCAGCAGCCGCGGUAAUACAGAGGGUGCAAGCGUUAAUCGGAAUUACUGGGCGUAAAGCGCGCGUAGGUGGUUUGUUAAGUUGGAUGUGAAAUCCCCGGGCUCAACCUGGGAACUGCAUCCAAAACUGGCAAGCUAGAGUAUGGUAGAGGGUGGUGGAAUUUCCUGUGUAGCGGUGAAAUGCGUAAAUAUAGGAAGGAACACCAGUGGCGAAGGCGACCACCUGGACUGAUACUGACACUGAGGUGCGAAAGCGUGGGGAGCAAACAGGAUUGAUACCCUGU